AAUGAACGCUUGCGGCAGGCCUAACACAUGCAAGUCGAGCGAGCAUUUCGGUGCUAGCGGCGGACGGGUGAGUAACGCGUGGGAACGUGCCCUUUUCUGCGGAAUAGUCCUGGGAAACUGGGGGUAAUACCGCAUACGCCCUUUUGGGGAAAGAUUUAUCGGAGAAGGAUCGGCCCGCGUUGGAUUAGGUAGUUGGUGGGGUAAUGGCCCACCAAGCCGACGAUCCAUAGCUGGUUUGAGAGGAUGAUCAGCCACACUGGGACUGAGACACGGCCCAGACUCCUACGGGAGGCAGCAGUGGGGAAUCUUAGACAAUGGGGGCAACCCUGAUCUGGCCAUGCCGCGUGAGUGAUGAAGGCCUUAGGGUUGUAAAGCUCUUUCAGCUGGGAAGAUAAUGACGGUACCAGCAGAAGAAGCCCCGGCUAACUCCGUG
rnacentral:rRNA from 1 species